rnacentral:lncRNA from 1 species
AGGCCUCAGGAAGAAGGGGUGUUGUUGAAAGCCGAGAGAAUCAAGAGAUUAAGGCGGAGAGAUUUAUAGUGGAGAAUCACCCGGUGUUGAUCGAGUCAAAGGUGAAGAUUGUUGCAUAUUUUUGGAAGUGGGGAGAAGGUUGACCCGAUCAAACUGGGCAUUUCCCCAAUCCUUUCGCCCACGCACAACAAGGGGCGGUAGUGGGAGGUUUCCAUUUUUUAUGGAAACCUCCCCUCUCUCUUGCUAUGUGCAUCUUCAAGUCCAGCCGGCCCUAGCA